rnacentral:rRNA from 1 species
AGUGAACGUUGGCGGCGUGGAUUAGGCAUGCAAGUCGAGCGAGAACCGUAGCAAUACGGGGACAGCGGCGAAAGGGACAGUAAUGUGUAGGUACCUACCCCGGGGUCUGGGAUAGCUGCGGGAAACUGCAGGUAAUACCGGGUAAUGUCUUCGGACCCAAGGUGUGAUUCCACCUUGGGAGGUGCCUGCAUCCUAUUAGCUUGUUGGCGGGGUAACGGCCCACCAAGGCAACGAUGGGUAGCGGGUGUGAGAGCACGACCCGCGUCAUUGGGACUGAGAUACUGCCCAGACACCUACGGGUGGCUGCAGUCGAGGAUCUUCGGCAAUGGGCGAAAGCCUGACCGAGCGACGCCGCGUGCGGGAUGAAGGCCUUCGGGUUGUAAACCGCUGUCGUAGAGGAGGAAAUGCAGGGGGGUUCUCCCUUCUGUUUGACCUAUUCUAGGAGGAGGGACGGGCUAAGUUCGUGCCAGCAGCCGCGGUAA